GGCCGAGUAGCAAAGUGGUAAUGCCGCGGACUGCAAAUCCGCUAUGCACUGGUUCGAUUCCGGUCUCGGCCUCCA
rnacentral:tRNA from 1 species